UACGGGGGGGGGCAAGCGUUGUUCGGAAUUACUGGGCGUAAAGGGUUCGUAGGUGGCCAACUAAGUCAGACGUGAAAUCCCUCAGCUUAACUGGGGAACUGCGUCUGAUACUGGUUGGCUUGAGUGCAGGAGAGGAACGCGGAAUUCCAGGUGUAGCGGUGAAAUGCGUAGAUAUCUGGAGGAACACCGGUGGCGAAGGCGGCGUUCUGGACUGCAACUGACACUGAGGAACGAAAGCCAGGGGAGCAAACGGG
rnacentral:rRNA from 2 species